GACGAACGCUGGCGGCGUGCUUAACACAUGCAAGUCGAACGGAAAGGCCCUGCUUUUGUGGGGUGCUCGAGUGGCGAACGGGUGAGUAACACGUGAGUAACCUGCCCUUGACUUUGGGAUAACUUCAGGAAACUGGGGCUAAUACCGGAUAGGAGCUCCUGCUGCAUGGUGGGGGUUGGAAAGUUUCGGCGGUUGGGGAUGGACUCGCGGCUUAUCAGCUUGUUGGUGGGGUAGUGGCUUACCAAGGCUUUGACGGGUAGCCGGCCUGAGAGGGUGACCGGCCACAUUGGGACUGAGAUACGGCCCAGACUCCUACGGGAGGCAGCAGUGGGGAAUAUUGCACAAUGGGCGGAAGCCUGAUGCAGCAACGCCGCGUGCGGGAUGACGGCCUUCGGGUUGUAAACCGCUUUCGCCUGUGACGAAGCGUGAGUGACGGUAAUGGGUAAAGAAGCACCGGCUAACUACGUGCCAGCAGCCGCGGUGAUACGUAGGGUGCGAGCGUUGUCCGGAUUUAUUGGGCGUAAAGGGCUCGUAGGUGGUUGAUCGCGUCGGAAGUGUAAUCUUGGGGCUUAACCCUGAGCGUGCUUUCGAUACGGGUUGACUUGAGGAAGGGUAGGGGAGAAUGGAAUUCCUGGUGGAGCGGUGGAAUGCGCAGAUAUCAGGAGGAACACCAGUGGCGAAGGCGGUUCUCUGGGCCUUUCCUGACGCUGAGGAGCGAAAGCGUGGGGAGCGAACAGGCUUAGAUACCCUGGUAGUCCACGCUGUAAACGGUGGGUACUAGGUGUGGGGUCCAUUCCACGGGUUCCGUGCCGUAGCUAACGCUUUAAGUACCCCGCCUGGGGAGUACGGCCGCAAGGCUAAAACUCAAAGGAAUUGACGGGGCCCCGCACAAGCGGCGGAGCAUGCGGAUUAAUUCGAUGCAACGCGUAGAACCUUACCUGGGUUUGACAUGGAUCGGGAGUGCUCAGAGAUGGGUGUGCCUCUUUUGGGGUCGGUUCACAGGUGGUGCAUGGCUGUCGUCAGCUCGUGUCGUGAGAUGUUGGGUUAAGUCCCGCAACGAGCGCAACCCUUGUUCACUGUUGCCAGCACGUUAUGGUGGGGACUCAGUGGAGACCGCCGGGGUCAACUCGGAGGAAGGUGGGGAUGACGUCAAGUCAUCAUGCCCCUUAUGUCCAGGGCUUCACGCAUGCUACAAUGGCUGGUACAGAGAGUGGCGAGCCUGUGAGGGUGAGCGAAUCUCGGAAAGCCGGUCUCAGUUCGGAUUGGGGUCUGCAACUCGACCUCAUGAAGUCGGAGUCGCUAGUAAUCGCAGAUCAGCAACGCUGCGGUGAAUAAAUUCCCGGGGCU
rnacentral:rRNA from 1 species